UACGAAGGGGGCUAGCGUUGCUCGGAAUUACUGGGCGUAAAGGGCGCGUAGGCGGCUCAUGAAGGCUGUGGUGAAAGUCCGGGGCUCAACCUCGGAUCGGCCGUGGCGACUCGUGGGCUGGAGCACUGUAGAGGCGGGUGGAAUUCCGGGUGUAGCGGUGGAAUGCGUAGAGAUCCGGAAGAACACCAGUGGCGAAGGCGGCCCGCUGGGCAGUGGCUGACGCUGAGGCGCGACAGCGUGGGGAGCAAACAGG
rnacentral:rRNA from 1 species